rnacentral:rRNA from 1 species
UACAGAGGUCUCAAGCGUUGUUCGGAUUCAUUGGGCGUAAAGCGCACGUAGGCGGUCUGUUAUGUCGGAUGUGAAAGCCCUCGGCUUAACUGAGGAAGUGCAUCCGAAACUGGCAGGCUAGAGUACUAAAGAGGGUCGCGGAAUUCCCGGUGUAGAGGUGAAAUUCGUAGAUAUCGGGAGGAACACCGGUGGCGAAGGCGGCGACCUGGGUAGAUACUGACGCUGAGGUGCGAAAGCGUGGGGAGCAAACAGG